CCUUUCUGCUUUGUCAUCCGGAUCCAGUUCCACGCUUCACCUUUGGUUUUGAAGACUGGGAGACUUAAAGGAAUCUUUGACUUUGGGUACUCUCUACAGACUUGGCUCAUAGUCAGCUUCAGGCUCCUCCUGUGUAUAGUACCUCUGAGCACAAUACAUUGUCCCUUUUAGUUUCAGCUCCCAAGAGCCAAACUUGCCAUUAGCAUCCAGGCAGGGCCCACUUGGUUCCUCACUGAGGAGUGUUAGGCAACUACGGAGCUGGUAGGUUUGUCUUUUUGUUCCAGGUACAGAGUUGUUUAUCUGUCUAGAAAAGGCCAGGCAUUGGUCUUUUUGACGUGAAAAAAGUUCAAGCCAGAAAACGGGCAAGCUGCUGUGAGCAUGUAACAUCUGUGAUGUCACAAACGUCUGUUUACAGACAGAGAAUGUGGACUCAUUUUCUAAGCCCUUGAAGUGUCUAGGACAGCAGGCUGCAUGGCAAAGCAGGGAGAUACAUCUGCUGAAUUGAAUUCAGUAUACUCAAAAUUCAGAUAUUCCAUUUUGCCAAGAGAUGGCGGAUGUGAGCAUAUCUCUUCAGUUCAGACCAUAUUUACAUCGUUUAGCUAUGACAUGGGCCUGGAGUUUUCUCUGCUCAAUUCAGGCAUAACAAUCAGCUAGAUUGAAACUCAUUGUUUGCAUGCCAUUCAGAGAGGAUAAGUAGUUAAGAAGACCCUACACUGACAUCUGUCAAGGGUAUGCCAUUUCACCAUGUGACACAUAGAGUAAGCCCAUGGCAGUUUGAAAGGCAGAUGCAAUGUUCUCUGCUCUGCGAUCCCUGCUGUCAAGAGUCUGCUGUAAGUGAUUUUCAGACCAUCAGCCUCAGCAUCUCCUGGGAACAUGCCAUAAAUGAGUUCUGAGGUCCUGCUCCAGAUCUGGGGUGAGACUGGGGACAGCAAUCUGUGUGUAUCCUCCAGAUAAUGUAAGCUAAAGUCUGAGAACUGUUGCACAAACACACAAAAGUACACAAUUUGGCCUAGCCAGGUGGAUGACUGGAAUAUCUACGUGAUAUGAAUUACAACUCAUAGUUCGAAACACGUCUUCUCCUGUUGGCUCUCAACCAUUUUUCCGUACUCUGAAGCCCAUUUUUAGUGGCCUGGAGAUUACAAUGAGUAAAAUCAGCAGAGGGGAGUGUAUACACAUAUGCCUUCACAAAAGGAAGAAGUGAGGCCUAAUUUCUGAUGUGAAUCAAGGAAUGGUGUGUCCACACCACUUCAUGCUCAGAUUAUUUGCAGUGACUUCAGUGGAAUUAAACCUGUGAUUUAGCUGCUCUGAAAUGAGUAAUAGAGCCUCUCCCAGAAUACAGGACUGACGAAAGCCUGCUACCUCUUCCUGAGUUUCCACCAUUACCUCACUCUGAAUCUUGGCUCCAUGUCUGACAGCUCUUCU
rnacentral:lncRNA from 1 species